rnacentral:rRNA from 1 species
GANCUGGCUCAGGAUGAACGCUAGCUACAGGCUUAACACAUGCAAGUCGAGGGGCAUCAGUUUGGUUUGCUUGCAAACCAAAGCUGGCGACCGGCGCACGGGUGAGUAACACGUAUCCAACCUGCCUCAUACUCGGGGAUAGCCUUUCGAAAGAAAGAUUAAUAUCCGAUAGCAUAUAUUUCCCGCAUGGGUUUUAUAUUAAAGAAAUUCGGUAUGAGAUGGGGAUGCGUUCCAUUAGUUUGUUGGGGGGGG